rnacentral:rRNA from 1 species
UACGUAGGAGGCAAGCGUUGUCCGGAAUUACUGGGCGUAAAGCGCGUGUAGGUGGUGGGACAAGUCUGCUGUGAAAGCGCCUGGCUUAACCGGGCGAGGUCGGCGGAAACUGUCGCACUCGAGGACGGUAGAGGGGGGUGGAAUUCCCGGUGUAGUGGUGAAAUGCGUAGAGAUCGGGAGGAACACCUGUGGCGAAGGCGGCCCCCUCGGCCGGCCCUGACACUGAGACGCGAAGGCGUGGGGAGCGAACGGG